AGCUUUGUGCUGUGGAAGUAUUGUAGUCAAUGAGGUUUAUCCAAGGCGUGAUUAUUGCUAAUUAAGAAUUAAGUUACAAUUAAAUGACACUAAAAAUGAAAUAAACACCCACAAUGAUCCUAAUUAUUUUGCUACAUCUUAUUGUUAAAUCAUCUCUUGAGAU
rnacentral:snRNA from 1 species